GGAGACUCCACGGGGUGUGCAUAUGUCAUGCAGAGGUGGGGAGCAGAGGUGGGGGAGCAGAGGAGCAGAGCCUCCAGGCCGCACUUGUCGCUCUCUCUCUGGACUGCUGGCCUCGUCAUUCCUAUGUAAAACUUGGGCCGGAGAUUCCCCGCGGGGCGGUCCUGCCGUGGCCUGUGCACGUGUAUAUAAUACGCAUCCCCUGUAGAAAAGGCGGCAAAUAUCCAGGGGAAUGCACAGAAGAAUAUAAAUAAAAUCCCCCGUGGUCCCGUGUCCUGAGCAGAGAGGACCCACAGUUAACGUUUUGGGGGCUUUUCAUGACCUUUUCCACGU